UACGGGGGGGGCAAGCGUUGUUCGGAAUUACUGGGCGUAAAGGGCUCGUAGGUGGCCAACUAAGUCAGACGUGAAAUCCCUCAGCUUAACUGGGGAACUGCGUCUGAAACUGGUUGGCUUGAGUGCAGGAGAGGAAUGCGGAAUUCCAGGUGUAGCGGUGAAAUGCGUAGAUAUCUGGAGGAACACCGGUGGCGAAGGCGGCAUUCUGGACUGUAACUGACGCUGAGGAACGAAAGCCAGGGGAGCAAACGGG
rnacentral:rRNA from 1 species